rnacentral:misc_RNA from 1 species
GCAAACUUGGUCAUUUAGAGGAAGUAAAAGUCGUAACAAGGUUUCCGUAGGUGAACCUGCGGAAGGAUCAUUAACAAAUCAUCUGUAUAUUGUUGUGUGUGUGUGUUGUGGUGUGUGUGUAUGUGUUUGUGCGCUACGUCCGCGUGGUGCACGUCAUUAUCACCAUCAUCAUCAUCAUCAUCAUAUAACAACAUAUAUAUACAUUAGUGCCUCUGCGCACACCAUGUGUACCAGUGUUUAAUUUGUGAUUACGCAAUUAUAUAUAACAACUUUUAACAAUGGAUCUCUUGGCUCUUGCAUCGAUGAAGAACGCAGC